AUGGUGCGCCCAGCAAACUGCCUUCCAGCGGCAGAAGGCAGCUCUGGGAGAUCAAGAGCUGUCUGCGACAAGGGAAACCCAAAGUUUCUCCUUUUGUCUGCAUCGCCUCUGCAGCGAGGGCCAACAUCACACCUGGUUGUGCCCCGCAUGGGGAGAAGGCGCAAGGUGCUCCAGCCAGGAAUGGGCUUCAUUUUAAUAAAUAACCGUUUCCCCGUAUCCCUCACCAGGAGCCAGAUGCUAGGCUCCCCACCCUCUGCUUCUAGGCCAGGGGAAGGACCACCAGCACAGCUGCAGCCCCCCGCCUUUCCUCCGAGCACCCGGUUUCCCCACAGGGACAGCAAUGCUCAGCAGAGGGCUGGGGGCUUGCUGGCCCCCCUUGGGACGGAGCCCGACCCGGUCUCCGCCGCCCGAAUGACACGACAGCAUCGGCGUCUGGCAGCCGAGCGCCGCUGCUCCUCUCCGCUGGCUUUCUGCGGCUGCCUGGGCCCCUCCCCUCCGCAGCCCGGUGCGAUAUUAAAACCCUGCUUGAUCCCUAUCGCCAAUCCAUCUCAGGCACCCGGAAAUUGCUUUUUUGCAGACAUCAGCCUCCAGCCCAGAGGGCUGAAGAAAGCACGGAGAAGCAUUUCCCCUCCCUCCGUCUGCUCUGGAGCUGUCCAGAAAUCAGCAGUUGUUGCUCUCGGACUCUCCGGAGCCCGGGAUUUCUGUGGGCCGGCCAAGGGAAGGGCCCUGGCCCCAGAAAUCCCACGCAGCCCUCUUGGCAGCAAGGGCCUUGGCACUGGGAGCGUCUCUGCCCUGCUUUUCUCCCCCGGACCGAGGCACUUGGCUUCCUACGAGGGGAAAUACCCGAGACUGCAGUCAGGAAGCUCCCUGCAGCCCCGCACAGCGCACGGCGCUGUGACAGUGCAGUUUUUGAAAGAGCAGCACAUGCAAACAGGGAAGGAGCUUGGAGGGCAGCACGGGGCAAAUCAACAGCAAAGGCCAGGCUCGCCGGCCUCCCCGGCAGUCAGGGGAAUGUGCCCAUCGGCCCCAGCCAAAAUCCACCCCCGCUUCUUCRGCCCCGUGCUGAUCCCCCCCAGCCCGACCCGGCACGGCAGAGCGGUGCCGAGCUACACGAGCRGCGGGCCCGGCACCCCGGCCGCGGGGGAGCCCGCAUGCCCGCCCGUGCGACGCGCACAGGGACUCCUCCUGCGGGUCCCCAGGGGCCCGGCGGAGAUAACAACGGGCUGA
rnacentral:lncRNA from 1 species